rnacentral:lncRNA from 9 species
AUGACCUGCAGGGCCUCUGAGCCGCUCGGAGUCUCCCUUCCCAUCCGGGAUUGCCCUUGUCACACCCGUGCCAGCUCCAGCUCCAGCAUGGCUGCCAGACACAGAGAGCAGACACUGCCGCAAAGGUGCCUCGGGUUCACGGGGGAGAGACGCCUGUCUGGUCUCUGCCAGCACCAGAAGGAAGACACAUCGGUCAGAGUAGGAGUUCAGCUAAGGACAGACCAGACCUUGGCCUGCUCUAGGCUCCCAGGCGAGGCCUUCUUGGGGUUCUCCAGUAUUGGGAGCAAAUCAGAGCCUGGCUCUGGUGCCCAAGAGUGUGCCUGGUGCCCCGGGUUCCCCAAGUGGGGCUAUAGUUCUUAUUAUUUUGGGCACAGGGCUUCAUUCAGAAAGUGGAUGCGUGUAAUUAUAGGAAAGUUAUGAAUACUGUGAUCCUUUUCAUUUCUGUAACUAUGACUUCCAGACACCUGCUCCAUUCAAGAGAAAAAAAAAAAUAGGUUUAGUUUGAAAAGUGCUUCUUCUGAAACGUGCAGUACCGAAUCUCUUCCGCUGAGGACGCGCCCCGAGGGAGGGCAGCGGCCGGGAGGGAAGGUGGGAGAGCUGAGGUGGGACGAGCUGCAUCCCCUCUUCCUGGGCGGGGGGCACUGUCCAGACCUAGGCCCAGGGUCAAUAACACGUGGCCACAGUCCUGACAGAAUAUUUUGCAUUCCUCACAGUGACAUCCAUGGAAAAAAAAAUUUUUUUUUUUUUGCCUGCUUUUUAGGGCCGCACCCACAGCAUGUGGAGGUUCCCAGGCUAAGGGCUGAAUCAGCGCUGUAGCUGUUGGCCUACGCCACAGCCAUGCAGUAUCUGAGCUGCCUCUGAGACCUACACCACAGCUCACGGCAACGCCAGAUCCUUAACCCCCUGAGCAGGCCAGGGAUUGAACCCAAAACCUCGUGGUUCCUCGUCAGACUUGUUUCCGCUGUGCCACGACGGGAACUCCCAUGGAAAGUUUUAAAUCCCAUGAAAAUGCCGAUGUAAAAAUAUUGAGUGAGAGGAAUUCCCGUCGUGGCGCAGUGGUUAACGAAUCCGACUAGGAAUCAUGAGGUUGCGGGUUCGACCCCUGGCCUUGCUCAGUGGGUUAAGGAUCCGCCGUUGCCCUGAGCUGUGGUGUGGGUCGCAGAUUCGGCUCGGAUCCCGCGUUGCUGUGGCUCUGGCGUGGGCCAGUGGCUACAGCUCUGAUUAGACCCCUCUCCUGGGAACCUCCAUAUGCUGCAGGAGCAGCCCUAGAAAAGGCAAAAAGACAAAAAAAAAAAAAAAAAAAAUUGAGUGAGAAAACCAGAUGAUCCUGACUUCCUAAAAACUGACAACAUUUCUCACAUUUUAAAAAACCCUGGAAUUUCAUUUCUCUCCAAGAUGGAGUAUUAGGGACUGUAAAACGAUAGAAAAAUAAAUUAACGACACAGACUAGGGAGCCCCAGAAACACCUGUAUGUGUACGGUCACCUGAUUUCCACAAAGGUGAAAGAAUCCUCUUUUUCACACGUGGUGCUGGAAAAAUCCUAUCAUCAGAAAGACCAAACAAAUAAAUCAAUUUUGGCCCUUAUCUCACACCUUAUACAAAAAUUAACCGAAAAAGAUCACAGCCCUAAAUAUGAGAGCUAAAACUAUAAAACUUCUAGAAGAAAACAUAGAAAAUCUUCACUACCUUGGGUUUCACAAUGAUUCCUUAAAUUCAACACGAAAACUAUGAACUGCAGAGGAAAUCAAUCAGCAAACUGGACUUUAUCAAAAUGAUAAAGGUUUGUUCUUCCAAAGGUUCUACCAAGAAAAUGAAAAUGCCAACCACAGUCUGGAAGAAAAUAUUUAUAAACAUAUAUCUGACAUAGCGAUGAUCAAGGUACGACCUUGUGACGAUACUAAAAGCUGGGGAACUCUACAUUUUAAAGGGUAACCUUUAUGGUAUGUGCAUUAUAUCUCAAAAAAGCUGUAAACAAAAACAACAUAUCUAGG